AGGGAUUGAACCCACGUCCUCAUGGAUACCAGUCGAAUUCUUAACCUGCUGAGCUGUGACAGGAACUCCAAAUCUGUAGAAUUCUUAAGUUAUGAAGUCAUUCUCCAAGACUCAGGACCUUUCCCUGACAGUGGCUCCCUGCCAGGAGCCUUCAUGCUGAAGGAAGGCAGGCCUGCUGGGAGAGUCCAUUGUGUGACUGUUGUAUGAAAACAGCCUCCCUGAGCUGAGUUGCCUUGAAGUUCUGAAUCCUUUUUUUUAUUAGAGGCUAGAGAAUCCUAGUAAAUAGCGCAUUUCAUCUCACGGUUUCAUAACUACUUUAAGGAACUGAGCUACUGUAAUCACAGGUUAUACUUUUUUUUUUUUAAAAGAUAAGCAUUAAUAUAAUUUGUGUAGUUAUUGAUGUGACUGUUUAAAAUUGCCUCUGCCCGAUUCAGCCUUGGGAAAACCAUUCUCUGUAAACAUCAGCUGUACUGCAGAAAGACAUGUAGACCUGGAUUUGAUUUUUGGCACUAACAUCUACUAUCUGGGUGACCUUGGACAAAUCACUUAAAUUCUCAGUUUCCUGAACUGUAGAAUGGGUACAGUACCACCCAGACUAUCCACCUCCCUAGACUGUGGGUUACUGUGUUUUGUGACUCCGCUGAGCAGAGCAGAAGACAGAGCCAUCUCAUCCAGUCUCCACUGAAACAGUGCUUUUCCAGCCCCCCACAUUCACCAAUCAAUCAGUUAUUGACUCUUUUCCAUAUGUGAAGAUACACUUAUAAGCCCAACUGCCCCUGGCAGAGGAGAAAGUUAUGUGGUCCAUCUCACCUAGGAUAUUAAUUCUCUUUCACAGCUUGGCUUCCAGCUUUCCUGGAACAGCCCAUUCAUCUCACCGAAAAGAGCAGUUUAUCCCUUGGGAGCUAUUUAUUCCCAAUGCUUUUAGAUUCUCAGCAUUUUGUAUUCAGAGCAUUUGCCUAAGGAUCAGGCUUUAUAGACCUCAUCUCACCAAUUCCAUUAUACCAACAAUAAUCUGGGCAGAAACACAUUCAUCUAAGCUUUGCUCUUUUGGCUUAUGAUUUAAAUUUUAUUUUAAACGUUUCAAUUCCAAUAAAAACAUGGGAAAACAGUGAAGAGAAGUAUAAUAAUUGGCAGGCCAGGAAUAUAGAACAAUGCACAGUCUAGAGUCUAGCUACUUUAGGAUGAACUUUGUUCAGUCAGUAAAUAUUUGACUCCCCACCCUGUGCCAGGCAUUGUUCUGGGCAUGGGAGGUAAUUUCUAAGCAGUGUGGACACAGCCUCUGCCCUCACUGACAUCACAAGUUUGCACACGAAUACCAUCCACCCAGCAAGUGGAUGGUAUCAAGUUCCUGGGGAAGUGCAGGGCAUAGACUUAGCAGCGGUGUAUCUUCCCAAAAGAUGAGUAGGAAUUAACCAGAAAAAUGCAGGACAGAGCAAGAGAAAUGUACAAAGCAAGGGAGCGGUGUAGCAGACAUAAGGAAGGAGAGAAAGAAGGAGGGGAGGAAGAAAGGAGAGACAGGAGGCAAGAAGCAAGUUUGAAGAAUUAAGGAAAAUCAUUUUGGCUGAAGCAUGAGCAAAACCUUGAACACUGGGAGACAGUUCUCCAGGAAUGAGAGUAGCUGUCAUGGCUCUGAAUCAGGAAGGAAGGAAGAAAAUAUAUCUCCUGAGAUGAAGAAAAAGGGGCAAUGCCUCAAACAACCAGAGAAGAGGAAGAACCCCGAUGGACUGACAGUAUGCAGAGAGGACUUGAAAGACAAAAAGGAUGGAAGAAACAGGGAGACAUAUGAUACCUAGAAAAAAGAAACAACAGGAGAAUGAUAGAGGUCAGAGGUGGUAACAGAGGGGAAGGCUGGGAACAAUGGGAAGAACGAUGAGCCCCAGGUAAGAAGGUGCUUCAAACUCUUUGGUCCAAGUCCAGCUAUCAAUAUAAAUACACAUAGGCAGUAUUGUAAUACUGAAAAUACAAGGCAGUCUUUUCAAUAAGUGGUGCUGGUACAAUUGGCCAUCAUAUACAACAACCAACAACAACGAAGAACAAAAACUAAAUAAACAAAAACAAAAACUCUGUAGACAGAGACUUACACCUUUCACAAAAAUUAACCCCAAAUGGUUCAUAAACCUAAAUGUAAAAUUCAAAACUAUAAAACUUCCAGAAGAUAACAUAGGAGAAAAUCUAGGUGACCUUAGAUUUUACAACAACUUUUUAGAUAUAACACCAAAGGCAUGAUCCAUGGGGAAAAAAAUUGAUAAGUGGUACUUCAUUAAAUUAAAAAUGUCUGCUCUGUGAAAAAUGCUAUUAAGAGAAUGAAAAGACAAGUCCACAAACAAGGAGAAAAUAUUUGCAAAACUUGUAUCUGAUAAAGUACUGGUAGAGUUUCCUGUGGUAUCAGAGUUAGGACUCAGCACUUUCACCACUGUGUCCCUGGGUUCCAUCACUGGUCUGAGAGCUGAGAGUCCACAUCAAGCUGCUGUGCAUGCCAUGGCCUAACCCACCCACCACUGCAGAUCCAAAAACUGAUAUCCAAAAACUACAAAAAACACUUUAAACUCAACAAUAAUGAAAUAACUGAAUUUAAAAAUGGACAAAAGAUCUGAAGAGAUGCCUCACCAAAGAAGAUAGACAGAGGGCUAAUAAGCAUAUGAAAAGCAGCAUAUGCCCUUAGGAAACUGUAAAUUAAAACCAUGAGAUAUCACUGAAUACCUAUUAGAAUGGCUAAAAUCUAAAGUACUGACAACACCAGAUGCAGAUGAGGCUGUGGAAUAACAGGAAUUCUCUAAUGGGAGUGCAAAAUGGUACGUACAGUCACUUUGGAAGACAAGUUUGACAGUUUCUUAUAAAACUAAACAUACUCUUACUAUAUGAUCUAGGAAUUAAGCUCCUUGGUAUUACCCAAAUGAGCUGAAAUCUUGUGUCCACACAAAAAUCUGCAACCAAAUGUUUACAGCAGCUUUACUCAUAAUUGCCAAAAAUUGGAAUCAAUCAUGAUGUCUUUCACAGGGGAAUGGAUAAACGAACUAUGGCACAUCUAAACAAUGGAAUACUACUUAGCACUAAAAAGAAAUAAGCUAUCAAGUUGUGAAAAGACAUGAAGGAAUCUUAAAAGCAUAUAGCUAAGUGAAAGAAGCAAGUCUGAAAGGCUGCAUGCUAUAUGAUUUCAACCACAUGACAUUCUGGGAAAGGCAAAACUAUGAAGACAUUAAAAAAGAAAACAGUGGUUGCAAAGGUUUGAGGGAAAGGAAGGAGGGAUGAAAAGGUGGAGCACAGGGAAUUUUUAUGGGAGUGAAAUGAUUCUGUACAAUCCACCAUAAUAACAGAUAUAUGACACUGUGCAUUUCCCAGAAACCAUAGAGUGAACCUAAUGUAAACUGUGGACCAUAGUAAAUAAUAGAGGCCAAUACAAUAUCAACAUUCUAUCAAUAUUGGUUUAUCAUUAGCGUAUCAUGCUAAUGCGAGAUACUAAUAAUAGGGAAAACUGUGUGAGUGGGGAAGAAUGGGGAGGGGAUAUAUGGGAACGCUCUGCACUUUCUGCUUAAUUUUUCUGUAAACCCAGAACUGCUUUGAAAAAUAAAGUCUAAAGUCUAGUUAAAAAUACACUAGAGAUCUCUUGUGGUGCAGCAGAUUGAGGAGCUGGCCUUGGCUAUGGCUCAGGUUGCUGCUGUGGUGAGGGUUUGAUCCCCAGCCCGGGAACUUCAAUAUGUUGUGGGUACAGACAAAGUACACACACACACACCCUACACAUACAGGGGACAAGUGAAGAAGCUAACAAAGCCGAAAAUCUUUUGUAUCCCAGGUUAGGCAGAGGGAGAGGUGAACUAUUAUCUUCACUCUUAAAGGUCCACAGUAUCAGCUAGGUAAGUACCCCAGGUAGCCAGAGGAUGCUUUCACUCAGGACAACGUGUUACUUGAUGGUGUUAGAUAAACUUUAAUUCUGCCACCAUUUUCAGAAAUAAAGUAUUUUAUUCAAACACUUAAGAAUCUAACCAAAACAUAGGUGAUCUUCACUUUUAAAUAGCCAAUAGUUUCAUGAUUAUAUACUGACACGCCUGGCUAUUCUUGAGAUCAGCUGUAAAAGGGUGGGUCCAAAAUAAUGUUUUUCAAAAUUAUAGGUUGAGAAGUAGCUCCUAAAGAGCCCUUCAGUUGCCUGAAGAGAAGAAAAUUUCCCAGUUCUUGGGAACAGUGACAGGGAAGUGGAUUCAUAUAGCUUUCUGAUCAGGAAAGAAAACUUAUAUUCAAUUUCUCUGGACACAUUUUUCAAUAUAAGACACCUUCAAACCAGCUUCACUUUUCUUGUUAAACCAACUGAAAAAUUCCCUGUUCAAUCUUUCAACAAAAUUAACAUCUGCAUGUAACUUCUUCCCAAUAGUAAAGUCAAUUUCUUUGGCUAUUACUGUCACUUCAAAUUAACAGGCAAUGAGGGGAAUAAGAAUUUGAAGCAAUUAAUUACUAUAGCAAAUUAGUUGUAAUUCAUUUUUAUUAUCAAUAACACAAUAUAUAAUAUGCAUUUGCUGUAUAACAGCUUUGUUUUUCCCUCUCCAGGAAAGAAGCACUGUCUUUUGCCACGUAAAUCAAUUUUUUCCCAUGUACAAUUUUUAAGCACAGUCUUAGAAACAUUGUUAUAUAGAAAACCCAAAAGAUCUUAGACUAAGGAUUUAAUAGAUUGCAAUGUUGUUGUUAUUGCUGACUUUAGGCUUUAAGCAAAAUACAGGUCUUUAGGUUUUCUUUUGGUUUGCAGAGCCAACCUCCAAGUUUCUAUUUUCAAAAUAUCCAAGAAAAGAAAAAAAAUCAACAUUUAUGAAUUUUUAAAGCAAAGUAGAAAAGAAUGUGAAAGUAUUUUCUGGUGGCCCAUGACAUAUUUGAUAUUUUUCUUAGCAAAUAAGCAGAAAGGAUGGUGAGGCCCUAAUUCAAAUAGCUCAUUAAGAAGUACCUUUAAAUCAUUAAUGCACCAUCCUGGUGUGUUGACAUGGAACUUCAGUCAGCUCCAGCAUUAAACAAUGUAGGAAGAGCAGGCUAACAUACUCUGGGGUGCUGCAUGGCAACCUAAUAAUAUCAACAAGGUGUGGUUACUUCUAUUUGAAAAGAAGAAAAAAAUGCUGGCACUUCUAACAACUAAGAGGUUUCACAGUAUCGCAAUUAUCUUCAAGUCUUUAAGAUUCAAACCAAGAGUGAGAAAUGGCAUAGGAGAUAUACACUGAAACCAAAUCAGGAAAGACAGAAAGCCUGAAAAUCUUGAACCUAAAAGAACAUAAAACACCCCUUCAGAAGGGACCAUCACAGCCGUAUAAUCUACACAAAAUGAAACAACAAACGAAAAACCAAACCCAACACUACAGCAAGCCUAUUGACCUGGCGCUCAGCAAGAAACAAAAAGGAAUUGGAAUACAAGCUCAGCACACGUGGCAAAAGUGGGGGGAAAAAACAAAACACUUCCAGGUAGUGAGGAGCCCUAGAAGAAGUUUCUCAAAAAAAACAAAACAAAACAAACAAAAAAAAGAGUAGUGGUUUUUUUUUUUGUUUGUUUGUUUGUUUGUUUUUUUUGUUUUGUUUUUUUUUUUGGAAACAGUAAUUUAAAGUUUUCAUUUACUUGCUCUUAUAAAGACAAGGAGAAAUGAUCUUUUUGGUAAGAGAUUUCUCCUUCUUAUCUAUAAUCAAGAAAAAAAUUAUGAUCUUACAUGUGGUUAAAAAAAAAAAAAGAGCACUGAAACUUCCUGC